rnacentral:rRNA from 1 species
CAGGAUGAACGCUGGCGGCGUGCCUAACACAUGCAAGUCGAGCGAUUCUCUUCGGAGAAGAGCGGCGGACGGGUGAGUAACGCGUGGGUAACCUGCCUCAUACACAUGGAUAACAUACCGAAAGGUAUGCUAAUACAGGAUAAUAUAAGAGAUUCACAUGGAUUUCUUAUCAAAGCUCCGGCGGUAUGAGAUGGACCCGCGUCUGAUUAGCUAGUUGGUAAGGUAACGGCUUACCAAGGCGACGAUCAGUAGCCGACCUGAGAGGGUGAUCGGCCACAUUGGAACUGAGACACGGUCCAAACUCCUACGGGAGGCAGCAGUGGGGAAUAUUGCACAAUGGGCGAAAGCCUGAUUGCAGCAACGCCGCGUGAGUGAUGAAGGCCUUCGGGUCGUAAAACUCUGUCCUCAAGGAAGAUAAUGACGGUACUUGAGGAGGAAGCCCCGGCUAACUACGUGCCAGCCGCCGC